rnacentral:rRNA from 1 species
ACGAACGCUGGCGGCACGCUUAACACAUGCAAGUCGAACGAGAGAAGAGAAGCUUGCUUUUCUGAUCUAGUGGCGGACGGGUGAGUAACACGUGAGCAAUCUGCCUUUCAGAGGGGGAUACCGAUUGGAAACGAUCGUUAAUACCGCAUAACAUAAUUGAACCGCAUGAUUUGAUUAUCAAAGAUUUAUCGCUGAAAGAUGAGCUCGCGUCUGAUUAGCUAGUUGGUAAGGUAACGGCUUACCAAGGCGACGAUCAGUAGCCGGACUGAGAGGUUGAUCGGCCACAUUGGGACUGAGACACGGCCCAGACUCCUACGGGAGGCAGCAGUGGGGAAUAUUGCACAAUGGAGGAAACUCUGAUGCAGCGAUGCCGCGUGAGGGAAGAAGGUUUUAGGAUUGUAAACCUCUGUCUUCAGGGACGAAAAAAGACGGUACCUGAGGAGGAAGCUCCGGCUAACUACGUGCCAGCAGCCGCGGUAAUACGUAGGGAGCGAGCGUUGUCCGGAAUUACUGGGUGUAAAGGGAGCGUAGGCGGGAUCGCAAGUCAGAUGUGAAAACUAUGGGCUUAACCCAUAAACUGCAUUUGAAACUGUGGUUCUUGAGUGAAGUAGAGGUAAGCGGAAUUCCUAGUGUAGCGGUGAAAUGCGUAGAUAUUAGGAGGAACAUCAGUGGCGAAGGCGGCUUACUGGGCUUUAACUGACGCUGAGGCUCGAAAGCGUGGGGAGCAAACAGGAUUAGAUACCCUGGUAGUCCACGCCGUAAACGAUGAUUACUAGGUGUGGGGGGACUGACCCCUUCCGUGCCGCAGCAAACGCAAUAAGUAAUCCACCUGGGGAGUACGACCGCAAGGUUGAAACUCAAAGGAAUUGACGGGGGCCCGCACAAGCAGUGGAGUAUGUGGAUUAAUUCGAAGCAACGCGAAGAACCUUACCAGGUCUUGACAUCGUAUGCAUAGCUCAGAGAUGAGUGAAAUCUCUUCGGAGACAUAUAGACAGGUGGUGCAUGGUUGUCGUCAGCUCGUGUCGUGAGAUGUUGGGUUAAGUCCCGCAACGAGCGCAACCCUUACUGUUAGUUGCUACGCAAGAGCACUCUAGCAGGACUGCCGUUGACAAAACGGAGGAAGGUGGGGAUGACGUCAAAUCAUCAUGCCCCUUAUGACCUGGGCCUCACACGUACUACAAUGGCUGUCAACAGAGGGAAGCAAAGCCGCGAGGUGGAGCAAACCCCUAAAAGCAGUCUUAGUUCGGAUUGUAGGCUGCAACCCGCCUACAUGAAGUCGGAAUUGCUAGUAAUCGCAGAUCAGCAUGCUGCGGUGAAUACGUUCCCGGGCCUUGUACACACCGCCCGUCACGCCAUGGGAGUCGGUAACACCCGAAGCCUGUAGUCCAACCGCAAGGAGGACGCAGUCGAAGGUGGGAUUGAUGACUGGGGUG